rnacentral:rRNA from 1 species
AUUGAACGCUGGCGGCAGGCCUAACACAUGCAAGUCGAGCGGUAGAGAGGUGCUUGCAUCUCUUGAGAGCGGCGGACGGGUGAGUAAUGCCUAGGAAUCUGCCUAGUGGUGGGGGAUAACGUUCGGAAACGGACGCUAAUACCGCAUACGUCCUACGGGAGAAAGCGGGGGGAUCUUCGGACCUCGCGCCAUUAGAUGAGCCUAGGUCGGAUUAGCUAGUUGGUGAGGUAAUGGCUCACCAAGGCGACGAUCCGUAACUGGUCUGAGAGGAUGAUCAGUCACACUGGAACUGAGACACGGUCCAGACUCUACGGAGGCAGCAGUGGGAAUAUUGGACAAUGGGCGAAAGCCUGAUCCAGCCAUGCCGCGUGUGUGAAGGAAAGGUCUUUCCGGG